GACGAACGCUGGCGGCGUGCUUAACACAUGCAAGUCGAACGGAAAGGCCCGGCUCUGGUGGGGUGCUCGAGGGGCGAGCGGGUGAGUAACACGUGAGUAACCUGCCCUUGACUUGGGGAUAACUUCAGGACCCUGGGGCUAAUACCGGAUACGAGCUCCUGCUGCCUGGUGGGGGUUGGAACGUGUCGGCGGUUGGGGGUGGACGCGGGGCUUAUCAGCUUGUGGGUGGGGUAGUGGCUUAGCCAGGCAUUGGCGGGUAGCCGGCCUGGGCGGGUGGCCGGCGACAAUGGGCCUGCGGGACGGCCCAGAGUCCUACGUGAGGCAGCAGUCGGGAAUCUUGCACAAUGGGCGGAAGCCUGAUGCAGCGGCGCCGCGUGCGUGAUGACGGCCUUCGGGUUGUAAACCGCUUUCGCCUGUGACGAAGGUUGAGUGACGGUAACGGGUAAAGAAGCACCGGCUAACUACGUG
rnacentral:rRNA from 1 species